AACGCUAGCUACAGGCUUAACACAUGCAAGUCGAGGGGCAGCACAGUGUAGCAAUACAUGGGUGGCGACCGGCGCACGGGUGCGUAACGCGUAUCCAACCUUCCCGUUACUCUUGGAUAGCCUUCCGAAAGGGAGAUUAAUACAAGAUGGUAUUCAAAUUCCGCAUGUUAUUUGAAUUAAAGAUUUAUCGGUAACGGAUGGGGAUGCGUGACAUUAGAUAGUAGGCGGGGUAACGGCCCACCUAGUCUACGAUGUCUAGGGGUUCUGAGAGGAAGGUCCCCCACACUGGAACUGAGACACGGUCCAAACUCCUACGGGAGGCAGCAGUGAGGAAUAUUGGUCAAUGGGCGCUAGCCUGAACCAGCCAAGUAGCGUGAAGGAUGAAGGCUCUAUGGGUCGUAAACUUCUUUUAUAUAAGAAUAAAGUGCAGUAUGUAUACUGUUUUGUAUGUAUUAUAUGAAUAAGGAUCGGCUAACUCCGUGCCAGCAGCCGCGGUAAUACGGAGGAUCCGAGCGUUAUCCCGGAUUUAUUGGGUUUAAAGGGAGCGUAGGUGGACUGGUAAGUCAGUUGUGAAAGUUUGCGGCUCAACCGUAAAAUUGCAGUUGAUACUGUCAGUCUUGAGUACAGUAGAGGUGGGCGGAAUUCGUGGUGUAGCGGUGAAAUGCUUAGAUAUCACGAAGAACUCCGAUUG
rnacentral:rRNA from 1 species